UACGUAGGCAGCAAGCGUUGUUCGGAGUUACUGGGCGUAAAGGGUGUGUAGGCGGUUGGAUAAGUGUGGUGUGAAAUCUCCAGGCUCAACCUGGAAAUGGCAUUGGAUACUAUUUAGCUCGAGGAGUGGAGGGGGGGACUGGAAUUCUCGGUGUAGCAGUGAAAUGCGUAGAUAUGACUCGGAAGCCAAAGGCGAAGGCAGGUUACUGGUACGCAACUGACGCUGAGGCACGAAAGCGUGGGGAGCAAACAGG
rnacentral:rRNA from 1 species